UGCGUCGGGGAGCGGCAGAAGUGAAACUCGCCAAGUCCCCGCAUCACUCUUGUUGGUAGAGACCAUUAGUUAAAUGCAGUUAACCUCAGCCACGAAAUCUGGCUUGUUGGCUCGGUUUGCUGUUUUUAGGCCCGGCCGUGCCUCAGUGCACUCGCUCUCCCUCCCCCCAGCGCCCGCAAAUGGGCCCGUCCAGGCCGGGUGGCGCAUGCGCCUCAGAGGCCGGGAGCAGCGGGGGCUGGCCGCGCCGAGCCGGGUCAGCUGUGGAGGGCGCGGGGGACUUUGCCACCCGGAGCUGCUGCGACUCUGGCGCCCAGGCCGCCGGCCUUUGGAUGGGGAGUCUUCGCUGGUGACUGUCACUUCAGUCCUCCCUGAGUGGCUUCGAGUCGGGUCGCUCUGCUGCGCUCCAUCCCUUCUAAAGAUGCAUCCUGACUUAUCUCCACACUUGCACACUGAAGAAUGCAACGUCUUGAUUAACUUGCUUAAGGAAUGUCACAAAAAUCACAGCAUUCUGAAAUUUUUUGGUCAUUGCAAUGAUCUUGAUCGGGAGAUGAGAAAAUGCUUGAAGAAUGAGUACAUGGAAAAGAGGACCAAGAGCAGGGAGCAUGGCAAUGCGAUGAGAAAAAGACUUUUUAAUCCCGCAGAGGAAUCUGAAAAAUAAAUUGCAGGCAUACCUCGUGUUAUUGUGCUUCAUUUUAUUGAGCUUCGCAGCUAGUGCAUUUUUUUCAAAUUGAAGGUUGGUGGCAACCUCGCGUCGAGUGAGUCUAUUGGUGCCAUUUUUCCAAGAGCAUUUCUCACCUUGUGUUUCUAUAUUGCAUUUUGGUAAUUCUUACAAUAUUUCAAACUUUAUAAUCACUAUUAUAAUUCUUAUGCUGGUCUGUGAUGUUACUGUUGUCAUUGUUUCGGGGCAUCACGAAGCGUGUCCACAGAAGACAGUGAACUUCAUCAGCGAUGUGUGUGUUCUGACUGCUCACCUACCAGCCCUUCCCUCGUCUCCCCUUGUCCUCGGGCCUCCCUGUUCCCUGAGACUCAGCAGUAUUGAAAUUAGGCCAGUUAGGGACCCUACGCUGGCCUCUAAGGGUGCAAGUGACAGGAAGAGUCCCUCGUCUCUCACUUUAAGUCAAAAGCUAGAAGUGAUUACGCUCAGGGAGUAGGGCAUGUUGAAAGCGGAGAUAGGCCGGAGCCAGGCCUCUUGCGUCAUUUAGCCAAGCUGUGAGCGCAAAGGGAAAGUUCCCGAAGGAGAUCAAAAGGGCUCCUCCAGCAGACACGCAAAUGCGAAGAAAGCGAGAGGACUUAGUGCUGAUGAGAAGGUUUCAGCUGUCUGGAUAGAAGAGGAAACAUUCUCUUAAGCCAAAGCCUAAUCCAGAGCAAAGUGCUAACUCUCUCCAGUUCCGUGGAGGCUGAGAGGCGAAGAAGCUGCACAAGAAAAGCUUGAAAUUGGCAGAUACUGGUUCGUGAGGCGCAAAGGAAAGAGGCUGUCGUCCUAACCUCAAAGUCCAAGGUGAAGCAGCAGGCGCUGUUGCAGAAGCUCCAGCCACGUGGAGGCAAGGCCCUUCACCAGCAAAAAGACUGACUUGCGGAAAGCUCAGGUGCCUUAGCUGAGAGAAGACCUAAAACCUCUUGGUGGAUAACUGAAAGAAUCUUACCUCAUUUGGUCUCCAGAAUCCUUUGGACAGAAAGUGACUCAUGAGAAAUCAAGCCAUGGAGAAGUAUGGAAACCCCGAUUCUGAGUAUUUUGUUAGGCAGAGAGCCUUAGGUACUCUCUCCCUUCUGCCAACACACCUGACUUGUAACAUGUUCCCUCCCUUUGCCAACAAUCAGUUAACAUUUGCGUAACUUAUCUCCUUCAAUAAAAUAAUUGACUUGAA